UGCAGUCGAACGGUAACAGGAAGAAGCUUGCUUCUUUGCUGACGAGUGGCGGACGGGUGAGUAAUGUCUGGGAAACUGCCUGAUGGAGGGGGAUAACUACUGGAAACGGUAGCUAAUACCGCAUAACGUCGCAAGACCAAAGAGGGGGACCUUCGGGCCUCUUGCCAUCGGAUGUGCCCAGAUGGGAUUAGCUAGUAGGUGGGGUAACGGCUCACCUAGGCGACGAUCCCUAGCUGGUCUGAGAGGAUGACCAGCCACACUGGAACUGAGACACGGUCCAGACUCCUACGGGAGGCAGCAGUGGGGAAUAUUGCACAAUGGGCGCAAGCCUGAUGCAGCCAUGCCGCGUGUAUGAAGAAGGCCUUCGGGUUGUAAAGUACUUUCAGCGGGGAGGAAGGGAGUAAAGUUAAUACCUUUGCUCAUUGACGUUACCCGCAGAAGGAGCACCGGCUAACUCCGUGCCAGCAGCCGCGGUAAUACGGAGGGUGCAAGCGUUAAUCGGAAUUACUGGGCGUAAAGCGCACGCAGGCGGUUUGUUAAGUCAGAUGUGAAAUCCCCGGGCUCAACCUGGGAACUGCAUCUGAUACUGGCAAGCUUGAGUCUCGUAGAGGGGGGUAGAAUUCCAGGUGUAGCGGUGAAAUGCGUAGAGAUCUGGAGGAAUACCGGUGGCGAAGGCGGCCCCCUGGACGAAGACUGACGCUCAGGUGCGAAAGCGU
rnacentral:rRNA from 1 species